rnacentral:lncRNA from 1 species
AUGCAGAGUUGUAGUCUUACACACCUCUCUGCUGCUUCCUUAGAACCCUCAUCCACCAACAAUAACAUAUUUAACACGAUAGAGGUAGUCUCUGUUCCACGGUUAAAAGUUCACCAAGCACAGAGCAGGGGAGCGGUCAAUCACCAAAAUCUUAUUAAAAUUAAUACUGAAGCACAAGUUGGAGAAACUAAUAUCACAAUUAAGUGUGGACUGUUAAAUAUUAGAUCUCUUUUGUGUAAAUCCCUGUUCGUACACGACCUGAUAGCGGAUCAUCACAUUGAUUUAUUUUGUCUUACUGAGACCUGGCUUCAGGAGGAGGAGUAUGUUAGCUUAAAUGAAUCUACUCCUCCUACCCAUCUUAAUUAUCAUAUUCCACGUGUUACUGGUCGAGGAGGGGGAGUGGCAGCAAUCUAUCACUCCAAGUUAUUAAUUAAUCCCAGACCAAAACAUGGCUUCAGUUCAUUUGAAAGCCUGACUCUUGGCAUCACUCAUCUGAACUGGAGGACAGAAAAGCCACUUCUGUUUGUAGUUGUAUAUCGGCCCCCUGCUGGACUACAUUCAGAGUUCCUGUCUGAGUUCUCUGAUUUCUUAUCUGAUUUGGUCCUUAGAACGGACAAAGUCAUUAUCAUUGGAGACUUUAAUAUCCAUAUGGACGUUAUAAAUGACAGCUUUAGAAAUGGCUUCAUUUCAUUACUUGUGUCAGUUGGUUUCCUCCAGCAGAUAAACCAACCAACUCAUAGCUUUAACCACACCUUAGAUCUAGUCCUGAUUUAUGGUGUUGAGGUAGAACAUGUGUCAGUGUUCCCUCAGAACCCAGUCCUGUCAGACCAUUCUUUGAUCACUUUUACAUUUAUGAUUAAGGAUUCUUCUAUGCUCAGAACAAAGUCUUACUAUAGCAGAUGUCUCUCAGAUAAUGCUGUAGCUAAGUUUAAGGAAGUGAUCCCUGUGCUGAUCCCAGGACCACCGUGUGUUUCCCCAAGGGUAAAUCACUAUAAUCUUAGCCCUGCUGAGGUUGACUCUGUUGCUGAAGGUGCUGUUGCUGAGGUCCUGCCUCAGGUGGAGGAGUUCAAGUAUCUCAGGAUCUUGUUCACGAGUGAGGGUAGUAUGGAACGGGAGAUCGACAGGCGGAUUGGAGCGGCGUCUGCAGUGAUGCGGGCGCUUAACCGAUCUGCCAUGGGGAAGAAGGAGCUGAGCCGGAAGGCGAAGCACUCGAUUUACCGGUUGAUCUACGUCCCAAUCCUCACCUGUGGCCAUCAACGUUGGGUGAUGACUGAAAGUCAAGUUACCUUGAAAAAGAUUGAGGAGAUGCAGCAACAGCAGCAGCAGCUGAAGGUGGCAUGUAUUGCUGAAGCCAGAAAAACAGCAGAUGCCAGUGGACAAGCUGUCACUGUAUUAGUCGGCCAAAUACAGCUACUAACAGCAGUACUCACUCCAGUCCCCCACUCCCGUGGAGUUGCUGAAACCUCCAGAACCAAAGUGAGAGCUUCUAAGGAAGCCACGUACCCUGCCAAGCACGUUAUCACCCGUCUGACUGGCUGGACGUGUCUGUGGGUAACAGCGGAACAUAAGAGACAGUCUCCAGCCAGCGUCUCAUGCCAUGCUUUCUCAGAAUAG